GACGAAUGCUGGCUGCGUGCUUAACACAUGCAAGUCGAACGGUGGAAGGGGAGCUUGCUCCCUGGAUCAGUGGCGAACGGGUGAGUAACACGUGGGCAACCUGCCCCUCACUCUGGGAUAACUCCGGGAAACCGGGGCUAAUACCGGAUACGACCUGGUGCGACAUCGCACCGGGUGGAAAGAACUUCGGUGAGGGAUGGGCCCGCGGCCUAUCAGCUUGUUGGUGGGGUAACGGCCCACCAAGGCGACGACGGGUAGCCGGCCUGAGAGGGGGACCGGCCACACUGGGACUGGGACACGGCCCAGACUCCUACGGGAGGCAGCAGUGGGGAAUAUUGCGCAAUGGGCGAAAGCCUGACGCAGCGACGCAGCGUGAGGGACGAAGGCCUUCGGGUUGUAAACCUCUUUCAGCGGGGACGAAGCGAAAGUGACGGUACCCGCAGAAGAAGCACCGGCUAACUACGUGCCAGCAGCCGCGGUAAGAC
rnacentral:rRNA from 1 species